rnacentral:rRNA from 1 species
CCUACGGGUGGCAGCAGUGAGGAAUAUUGGUCAAUGGACGAGAGUCUGAACCAGCCAAGUAGCGUGAAGGAUGACUGCCCUAUGGGUUGUAAACUUCUUUUAUAUGGGAAUAAAAUGUUCCACGUGUGGGAUUUUGUAUGUACCAUAUGAAUAAGGAUCGGGUAACUCCGUGCCAGCAGCCGCGGUAAUACGGAGGAUGCGAGCGUUAUCCGGAGUUAUUGGGUUUAAAGGGAGCGUAGGUGUAGUGUUAAGUCAGUUGUGAAAGUUUGCGGCUCAACCGUAAUAUUGCAGUUGAAACUGGCAGUCUUGAGUACAGUAGAGGUGGGCGGAAUUCGUGGUGUAGCGGUGAAAUGCUUAGAUAUCACGAAGAACUCCGAUUGCGAAGGCAGUUCACUGGACUGCAACUGACACUGAGGCUCGAAAGUGUGGGUAUCAAACAGGAUCAGAUACCCCGGUAGUC